AACGAACGCUGGCGGCAGGCUUAACACAUGCAAGUCGAACGCCCCGCAAGGGGAGUGGCAGACGGGUGAGUAACGCGUGGGAAUCUACCUAGUUCUACGGAACAACACAGGGAAACUUGUGCUAAUACCGUAUACGCCCUACGGGGGAAAGAUUUAUCGGAAUUAGAUGAGCCCGCGUUGGAUUAGCUAGUUGGUGGGGUAAUGGCCUACCAAGGCGACGAUCCAUAGCUGGUCUGAGAGGAUGAUCAGCCACACUGGGACUGAGACACGGCCCAGACUCCUACGGGAGGCAGCAGUGGGGAAUAUUGGACAAUGGGCGCAAGCCGGAUCCAGCCAUGCCGCGUGAGUGAUGAAGGCCUUAGGGUUGUAAAGCUCUUUCAGUGGGGAAGAUAAUGACGGUACCCACAGAAGAAGCCCCGGCUAACUUCGUGCCAGCCGCCGCCGUAACAC
rnacentral:rRNA from 1 species